rnacentral:rRNA from 1 species
CGGAGGGUGCAAGCGUUAUCCGGAUUCACUGGGUUUAAAGGGUGCGUAGGCGGGCUGUUAAGUCAGUGGUGAAAUCUCAGAGCUUAACUCUGAAACUGCCAUUGAUACUAUCAGUCUUGAAUGUUCUGGAGGUGAGCGGAAUAUGUCAUGUAGCGGUGAAAUGCUUAGAUAUGACAUAGAACACCAAUUGCGUAGGCAGCUCACUACGGAAAUAUUGACGCUGAGGCACGAAAGCGUGAGGAUCAAACAGGAUUAGAUACCCUGGUAGUUCACGCCCUAAACGAUGGAUACUCGACAUACGCGAUACACAGUGUGUGUCUGAGCGAAAGCAUUAAGUAUCCCACCUGGGAAGUACGUCCGCAAGGAUG